CCAACUGAUGCUGAGGUAGAAAUUGAAUGUGGGCGCCCCGUAAUCCUCCUCUGCGGACUCUUGCGAGGAUGUUUCUUCAGUCUCCUGCAACACAUGGAGGGCAGGUUGUCUGCAAUGUAAACAUCCUUGAAAACCACCCUUGAAGUUUCUGUGAAAACAUUGAACAUCUUGGAAGGGGUGAGUGCCACAGGACAGCGGGGGGGUUUCCCAGGACUCCCUCCUCCCUGCUCCACAGCCCACGGGGAAGACCUCCACAGGGUAUCUGACAUACAGCCCUCUGUGAAUGAGUCAUUUGACACCCCCCCCCCAAAGGAGUCAAGACCCACCGAGACAAAGGACGAAAACAAACAAACAAGCAGUACUAACACACUCUUCCUUCAAGCUGAGCAAAUUUCCCUGUCAGUCAGCUUUACUUUACCAUGAGAUGGCUCUCCUGGCUUGUCUGGGCUAUCCCUGGAAACUGCUGAGUACAUUCACUUGGGUCACGGACUGAAG
ensembl:processed_transcript